rnacentral:rRNA from 1 species
GACGGAGGAUGCAAGUGUUAUCCGGAAUCACUGGGCGUAAAGCGUCUGUAGGUGGUUUAUUAAGUCAACUGUUAAAUCUUGUGGCUCAACCUCAAAAUCGCAGUCGAAACUAUUAGGCUAGAGUAUAGUAGGGGUAAAGGGAAUUUCCAGUGGAGCGGUGAAAUGCGUAGAGAUUGGAAAGAACACCGAUGGCGAAGGCACUUUACUGGGCUAUUACUAACACUCAGAGACGAAAGCUAGGGUAGCAAAUGGG